rnacentral:rRNA from 1 species
CACAAGCGGUGGAGCAUGUGGUUUAAUUCGAUGCAACGCGAAGAACCUUUACCUGGUCUUGACAUCCACGGAAGUUUUCAGAGAUGAGAAUGUGCCUUCGGGAACCGUGAGACAGGUGCUGCAUGGCUGUCGUCAGCUCGUGUUGUGAAAUGUUGGGUUAAGUCCCGCAACGAGCGCAACCCUUAUCCUUUGUUGCCAGCGGUCCGGCCGGGAACUCAAAGGAGACUGCCAGUGAUAAACUGGAGGAAGGUGGGAUGACGUCAAGUCAUCAUGGCCCUUACGACCAGGGCUACACACGUGCUACAAUGGCGCAUACAAAGAGAAGCGACCUCGCGAGAGCAAGCGGACCUCAUAAAGUGCGUCGUAGUCCGGAUUGGAGUCUGCAACUCGACUCCAUGAAGUCGGAAUCGCUAGUAAUCGUGGAUCAGAAUGCCACGGUGAAUACGUUCCCGGGCCUU